rnacentral:rRNA from 1 species
UACAGAGGGUGCGAGCGUUGUUCGGAAUUAUUGGGCGUAAAGGGUGCGUAGGCGGUGCCACAAGUCACUUGUGAAAUCCCCAGGCUUAACCUGGGGCCUGCAGGCGAAACUGUGGUGCUGGAGUAUGGGAGAGGUGCGUGGAAUUCCCGGCGUAGCGGUGAAAUGCGUAGAUAUCAGGAGGAACACCGGUGGUGUAGACGGCUCACUGGACCGUAACUGACGCUGAAACACGAAAGCGUGGGUAGCAAACAGG